rnacentral:lncRNA from 10 species
GGGAUUCUUAUUGGCCUCAAUGUGAGAAGCCCUUCCCCAGAGCCCCAGUUUGAGGGACAGCGGGAUAUCCACCAUGCUGCUGUGAGACUCGGGCAGUUGUGACUGGUUUAGAAGUGGAUACACAGGGAGAGGUCUUCUGGAAAAGGUCUUCUGGAGAGCUGAGAUCAGAAGACAAUCAACUGGCUUCAAAUCUAAGGAGAGACAGGCACAAAAUGGAAGAGAUGACAUGGGCACUGGUUACCUGGUAAACACAAGUGGACACUGGUGAGGGACUGGGUCAUGGAGACUGCAGUAGUCUUUACCCUUUUCAGCGUUUUUCACCAUGAACCCCACUGGGAGCACACAGAAGAUUGGAGAAAGUUUUAAUAAAAUGUCUCAAGAUCUGGAAGAAGACAAUGGCAGCUACUGUGAAAGGAUCACAGUGCUCCACCCAGACCCUUCCCUGUAUCCCCUACCGGACAAAAGCCUUAGUCUGUGGAGGGAAGGACACCAAAUCCUGUCACCCCCUUGGAUGAAGCUCCCUUGCAUCUGGGGGAAUGAAACAGGAACAAAACAAAACUUUCCCUGGGCAGGGGCAGGAAUACACACUGGGCCCAGAACUGGGGGAGGAACAGGAGCACUAAGGAGGACAUAACCCCAAAAUCAGAGACACAAAGGGCCUGACAGAGACUGAGACUUGAUCAGAACAGAGAAUUCCCUCCUCCCCCACCUGCCAAUGGUAAGCUGACAAGCCUUGAGUUAGAAGUAAAAAUGUUACAGGAGAGAGACAAGAGUAUGGGAAGAAGACCCUUUCUGAGGGUCACAAAGGGAGGACCUAAAGCUGAGCAGGGAGCACACAUGGAAGGAGAAAAUCCCUCUGGCAGGCCAGCCUGCACCCUCAGUCCAAGGUGUCAUUGGAGGAACUGGAAGCUGCUGCAUUGGGGGUAACCAUAGCAACAAUAAACCUCAAACCUAGCCCAACUCUUUUUUUUAUUUACUUUUUAGAGACAAGGUCUUGCUCUGUUGCCCAGGCUGAAGUGCAGUGGUGUGAUCGCAGCUCACUGCAGCCUCAAACUCCUGGGCUCAAGCAAUCCUCCUGCUUCAGCCUUUGUAGGAGAUUGGUCAGGGUGGUGGGAGAAAUUAUAGGAAAGACACAAACCUUCUUGGAAGGCCGAGAGGUUUUGCAAAAGCUUCAGAAAGAAAUUAUGGCUGAAGGCAGCCAAAUUCUUAUCUGAAGCCUGAGAGCAAAGGGCAGAUAACAGGGGAGUUGUAUAGGAACUUACCUAGAUAAAUUUGUUUAUUCCUGUGUCCAGAAACCAACCUUUGAUCAUUCACACACAGGACUGCUGUCUACUUGGGAUGUUGACAAUGUUUAUUGCCCACAAAUUGUGUUUGCUCCAAGCCUUUGUCAUUAAAUUUGUGCUAAAUAAAUGUGAGGGCCACCAGCUUAAGGGGACUGCUAACUCUCUUCGGCCCCUAGUGCUGGCAGUCCCCUAGCCUGCUCUCUCACUGAAU